rfam:Felis catus isolate Cinnamon breed Abyssinian chromosome D4, whole genome shotgun sequence.
GCCUGGGUGGCUCGGUCAGUUGAGCGUCUGACUUCGGCUCAGGUCAUGAUCUCACGGUUCGUGAGUUCGAGCCCCGCGUCAGGCU